UGGGGAAUAUUGCACAAUGGGGGAAACCCUGAUGCAGCGACGCCGCGUGAACGAAGAAGGUAUUCGUAUCGUAAAGUUCUGUCCUAUGGGAAGAUAAUUACAGUACCAUAGAAGAAAGCUCCGGCUAAAUACGUGCCAGCAGCCGCGGUAAUACGUAUGGAGCGAGCGUUGUCCGGAAUUAUUGGGCGUAAAGGGUACGCAGGCGGUUUAAUAAGUCGAAUGUUAAAGAUCGGGGCUCAACCCCGUAAAGCAUUGGAAACUGAUAAACUUGAGUAGUGGAGAGGAAAGUGGAAUUCCUAGUGUAGUGGUGAAAUACGUAGAUAUUAGGAGGAAUACCAGUAGCGAAGGCGACUUUCUGGACACAAACUGACGCUGAGGUACGAAAGCGUGGGGAGCAAACAGG
rnacentral:rRNA from 1 species